rnacentral:rRNA from 1 species
UACGAAGGGGGCUAGCGUUACUCGGAAUUACUGGGCGUAAAGAGUGUGUAGGCGGUGUUCUAAGUCUGUUGUGAAAUCUCCCGGCUUAACUGGGAGGGUGCGGCGGAAACUGGAAUGCUAGAGGAUGGGAGAGGUAAGCGGAAUUCCUGGUGUAGCGGUGAAAUGCGUAGAUAUCAGGAGGAACACCUGUGGUGUAGACAGCUUACUGGACCAUUUCUGACGCUGAGACACGAAAGCGUGGGUAGCAAACAGG